AAGACAUGCAAGUCGAACGAACUUAAUCGAUUCUUUUAGAUUCGAAGCGGUUAGUGGCGGACUGGUGAGUAACACGUAAGCAACCUACCUGUUAGAGGGGAAUAACAGUGAGAAAUCACUGCUAAAACCGCAUAUGCCGUGAACAUCGCAUGAUGAAAACGGGAAAAGAGCAAUCUGCUAAUAGAUGGGCUUGCGUCUGAUUAGCUAGUUGGUGUGGUAAAGGCAUACCAAGGCGACGAUCAGUAGCCGGACUGAGAGGUUGAACGGCCACAUUGGGACUGAGAUACGGCCCAGACUCCUACGGGAGGCAGCAGUCGGGAAUAUUGCGCAAUGGAGGAAACUCUGACGCAGUGACGCCGCGUAUGGGAAGAAGGUUUUCGGAUUGUAAACCAUUUUAGACAAGGAAGAAACAAGACAGUACUUGUAGAAUAAGCUCCGGCUAACUACGUGCCAGCAGCCGCGGUAAUACGUAGGGAGCAAGCGUUAUCCGGAUUUAUUGGGUGUAAAGGGUGCGUAGACGGGAAGGUAAGUUAGUUGUGAAAUCCCUCGGCUCAACUGAGGAACUGCGACUAAAACUGCUUUUCUUGAGUGCUGGAGAGGAAAGUGGAAUUCCUAGUGUAGCGGUGAAAUGCGUAGAUAUUAGGAGGAACACCAGUGGCGAAGGCGACUUUCUGGACAGCAACUGACGUUGAGGCACGAAAGUGUGGGGAGCA
rnacentral:rRNA from 1 species